rnacentral:rRNA from 1 species
UACGGAGGGUGCGAGCGUUGUCCGGAUUUAUUGGGUUUAAAGGGUGCGUAGGUGGCUUGUUAAGUCAGUGGUGAAAUACAGCCGCUCAACGGUUGAGGUGCCAUUGAUACUGACAAGCUUGAAACAAGUGGAGGUUGCCGGAAUGGAUGGUGUAGCGGUGAAAUGUAUAGAUAUCAUCCAGAACACCGAUUGCGAAGGCAGGUGACUACGUUUGAUUUGACACUGAGGCACGAAAGCAUGGGGAGCAAACAGG